rnacentral:pre_miRNA from 1 species
CAUGUACUCCCUCCGUCCGAAAAUACUUUUCAUCAAAAUGGACAAAAAGGGAUGUAUCUAGAACUAAAAUACAUCUAGAUACAUCCCCUUUUAUUCAUUUUGAUGACAAGUAUUUCCGGACGGAGGGAGUAUCAU